UACAGAGGGGGCAAGCGUUGUUCGGAAUUACUGGGCGUAAAGGGCGCGUAGGCGGCCUGCUAAGUCGAACGUGAAAUCCCUGGGCUCAACCCAGGAACUGCGUCCGAUACUGGUUGGCUUGAAUCCGGGAGAGGGAUGUGGAAUUCCAGGUGUAGCGGUGAAAUGCGCAGAUAUCAGGAGGAACACCGGUGGCGAAGGCGGCAUCCUGGACCGACAUUGACGCUGAGGCGCGAAAGCCAGGGGAGCAAACGGG
rnacentral:rRNA from 1 species